GAUGAAGAACGUAGUGAAAUGCGAUAAGUAAUGUGAAUUGCAGAAUUCAGUGAAUCAUCGAAUCUUUGAACGCACCUUGCACCCUUUGGCAUUCCGAAGGGUAUGCUCGUUUGAGUGUCAUUGUACUCUCACACUUCCAAUUCUUUGGAUUGGGAGCGGUGGACUUGGGUGCUGCUGCUUACCGUGGCUCACCUCAAAUGGAUUAGUGCAACUCUUGGUUGACCAUAGUACGGCGUGAUAAGUGUCUUCGCCGGCACCUCACUGGGUGGGCCGAUCGGGAGCUCUGUGCUUCAAACCGUCUUCAGACAACAACUGACAACUUGACCUCAAAUCGAGUAGGACCACCCGCUGAACUUAAGCAUAUCAAUAAGCGGAGGA
rnacentral:misc_RNA from 1 species